GACGAACGCUGGCGGCGUGCUUAACACAUGCAAGUCGAGCGGAGCGGCGAACGGGUGAGUAACGCGUGAGUAACUGCCCCCCUCUCUGGGCUAACAGUUGGAAACGGCUGCUAAUACCGGAUAGUGGGGGAUGACUCGCGUCCUAUCAGCUUGUUGGUGGGGUAGUGGCCUACCAAGGCGACGACGGGUAGCCGGCCUGAGAGGGCGACCGGCCACAAGGGGCUGAGAGAGGGCCCAAACUGCAACGGGAGGCAGCAGGGGGGAAUAGUGCACAAUGGGGGAAACACUGAUGAAGGAAGGCGGGUGCGGGAUGACGGGCUUCGGGUUGUAAACCGCUAUAAGCCAGGACGCGGUAGUGGCAGAAGAAGCACCGGCUAACUACGUGCCAGCAGCCGCGGUAAUUC
rnacentral:rRNA from 1 species